GGGUGAGUAAUGCCUAGGAAUCUGCCUGGUAGUGGGGGAUAACGUUCGGAAACGGACGCUAAUACCGCAUACGUCCUACGGGAGAAAGCAGGGGACCUUCGGGCCUUGCGCUAUCAGAUGAGCCUAGGUCGGAUUAGCUAGUUGGUGAGGUAAUGGCUCACCAAGGCGACGAUCCGUAACUGGUCUGAGAGGAUGAUCAGUCACACUGGAACUGAGACACGGUCCAGACUCCUACGGGAGGCAGCAGUGGGGAAUAUUGGACAAUGGGCGAAAGCCUGAUCCAGCCAUGCCGCGUGUGUGAAGAAGGUCUUCGGAUUGUAAAGCACUUUAAGUUGGGAGGAAGGGUUGUAGAUUAAUACUCUGCAAUUUUGACGUUACCGACAGAAUAAGCACCGGCUAACUCUGUG
rnacentral:rRNA from 1 species